GGAUGACUUGUGGAUAGGGGUGAAAGGCCAAUCAAACUUCGUGAUAGCUGGUUCUCUCCGAAAUAUAUUUAGGUAUAGCGUUGUGUCGUAAUAUAAGGGGGUAGAGCACUGAAUGGGCUAGGGCAUACACCAAUGUACCAAACCCUAUCAAACUCCGAAUACCUUAUAUGUAAUCACAGCAGUCAGGCGGCGAGUGAUAAAAUCCGUCGUCAAGAGGGAAACAACCCAGACUACCAGCUAAGGUCCCUAAGUCUUACUUAAGUGGAAAACGAUGUGAAGUUACUUAAACAACCAGGAGGUUGGCUUAGAAGCAGCCAUCCUUUAAAGAAAGCGUAAUAGCUCACUGGUCUAGUGAUUUUGCGCGGAAAAUAUAACGGGGCUAAAGUAAGUACCGAAGCUGUAGACUUAGUUUACUAAGUGGUAGGAGAGCGUUCUAUUUGCGUCGAAGGUAUACCGGUAAGGAGUGCUGGAGCGAAUAGAAGUGAGCAUGCAGGCAUGAGUAGCGAUAAUUAAUGUGAGAAUCAUUAACGCCGUAAACCCAAGGUUUCCUACGCGAUGCUCGUCAUCGUAGGGUUAGUCGGGUCCUAAGUCGAGUCCGAAAGGGGUAGACGAUGGCAAAUUGGUUAAUAUUCCAAUACCAACAUUAGUGUGCGAUGGAAGGACGCUUAGGGCUAAGGGGGCUAGCGGAUGGAAGUGCUAGUCUAAGGUCGUAGGAGGUUAUACAGGCAAAUCCGUAUAACAAUACUCCGAGAACUGAAAGGCUUUUUGAAGUCUUCGGAUGGAUAGAAGAACCCCUGAUGCCGUCGAGCCAAGAAAAGUUUCUAAGUUUAGCUAAUGUUGCCCGUACCGUAAACCGACACAGGUGGGUGGGAUGAGUAUUCUAAGGCGCGUGGAAGAACUCUCUUUAAGGAACUCUGCAAAAUAGCACCGUAUCUUCGGUAUAAGGUGUGGUUAGCUUUGUAUUAGGAUUUACUCCGAAAGCAAGGAAACUUACAACAAAGAGUCCCUCCCGACUGUUUACCAAAAACACAGCACUCUGCUAACUCGUAAGAGGAUGUAUAGGGUGUGACGCCUGCCCGGUGCUCGAAGGUUAAUUGAUGGGGUUAGCAUUAGCGAAGCUCUUGAUCGAAGCCCGAGUAAACGGCGGCCGUAACUAUAACGGUCCUAAGGUAGCGAAAUUCCUUGUCGGUUAAAUACCGACCUGCAUGAAUGGCGUAACGAGAUGGGAGCUGUCUCAAAGAGGGAUCCAGUGAAAUUGUAGUGGAGGUGAAAAUUCCUCCUACCCGCGGCAAGACGGAAAGACCCCGUGGACCUUUACUACAGCUUGACACUGCUACUUGGAUAAGAAUGUGCAGGAUAGGUGGGAGGCUUUGAGUAUAUGACGCCAGUUGUAUAUGAGCCAUUGUUGAGAUACCACUCUUUCUUAUUUGGGUAGCUAACCAGCUUGAGUUAUCCUCAAGUGGGACAAUGUCUGGUGGGUAGUUUGACUGGGGCGGUCGCCUCCCAAAUAAUAACGGAGGCUUACAAAGGUUGGCUCAGAACGGUUGGAAAUCGUUCGUAGAGUAUAAAGGUAUAAGCCAGCUUAACUGCAAGACAUACAAGUCAAGCAGAGACGAAAGUCGGUCUUAGUGAUCCGGUGGUUCUGUGUGGAAGGGCCAUCGCUCAAAGGAUAAAAGGUACCCCGGGGAUAACAGGCUGAUCUCCCCCAAGAGCUCACAUCGACGGGGAGGUUUGGCACCUCGAUGUCGGCUCAUCGCAUCCUGGGGCUGGAGCAGGUCCCAAGGGUAUGGCUGUUCGCCAUUUAAAGCGGUACGCGAGCUGGGUUCAGAACGUCGUGAGACAGUUCGGUCCCUAUCUGCCGUGGGCGUAAGAAGAUUGAAGAGAUUUGACCCUAGUACGAGAGGACCGGGUUGAACAAACCACUGGUGUAGCUGUUGUUCUGCCAAGAGCAUCGCAGCGUAGCUAAGUUUGGAAAGGAUAAACGCUGAAAGCAUCUAAGCGUGAAGCCAACUCUAAGAUGAAUCUUCUCUAAGCUCUCUAGAAGACUACUAGUUUGAUAGGCUGGGUGUGUAAUGGAUGAAAGUCCUUUAGCUGACCAGUACUAAUAGAGCGUUUGGCUUAUCUUUAAUAAAGCAU
rnacentral:rRNA from 1 species